CUCAGCUGAAAAUAAAAGCGAAGAGCAGCCAGCUCAUAUGUCGUUGUAGAAACGCAAAAGAGAAACCCCCAAAUGUGUUCUUCCUCUGCUGUGGAUGAGCAGGGCAAGUAUUUGUGGACCAAGGAAAACACAGAGAAGGAGGCUAAGCAGGACAUGGCAGCCUGCUUGUUGCAGAACGCCUGCUCUGAGACUCAGAGUACACAAAUCAAGAUACAAGCAUCUGGACAUACUACCCUUGGAAGAGGUGCACUCCCGAUUCUGUGGGAAGCGAUGGAUCCCACAGACUGAUUCCUGAACAACCUGAGAAGAUGCCGCACACAUCAGGCAAAAGCAUUAUAAACUUGGUAGGAAAAGAGAGGGCUGGAGUCUGCUGGUGGGAGCUGCCCAUGUGUCUGAUCUGUGCCAAGAGGCCAUGCGGAGGGACUGGCCAAAAUCACCUGAGGACUUGAGGUGAAGUCACCCAGCACUCUGCUCUUCG